rnacentral:rRNA from 1 species
UACGUAGGCAGCGAGCGUUGUUCGGAGUUACUGGGCGUAAAGGGUGCGUAGGCGGUUGUUUAAGUUUGGUGUGAAAUCUCCCGGCUCAACUGGGAGGGUGCGCCGAAUACUGAAUGACUAGAGUGCGGGAGAGGAUAGUGGAAUUCCUGGUGUAGCGGUGAAAUGCGUAGAUAUCGGAAGGAACACCUGUGGCGAAAGCGGCUCACUGGACCAUUACUGACACUGAGGUACGAAAGCUAGGGGAGCAAACAGG